AGUGACACAAUCACUCACAUUCAGUCGCACACACAGUGAUCCUCACUCACAUUCAGUGACACAAUCACAUUCAGUAAUAUACAGGAACACAAUCACUCACAUUCAGUCACACACACAGUGAUCCUCACUCACAUUCAGUGACACAAUCACAUUCAGUCACACACAGUGACACAAUCGCUCACAUUCAGUCACACACAGUGAUCCUCACUCACAUUCAGUCGAACACACAGUGAUCCUCACUCACAUUCAGUCGCACACACAGUGAUCCUCACUCACAUUCAGUCGCACACACAGUGAUCCUCACUCACAUUCAGUGACACAAUCACAUUCAGUAAUAUACAGGAACACAAUCGCUCACAUUCAGUCACACACAGUGACACAAUCGCUCACAUUCAGUCACACACAGUGACACAAUCGCUCACAUUCAGUCACACACAGUGAUCCUCACUCACAUUCAGUCGUACACACAGUGAUCCUCACUCACAUUCAGUAAUAUACAGGAACACAAUCACUCACAUUCAGUCGCACACACAGUGAUCCUCACUCACAUUCAGUGACACAAUCACAUUCAGUAAUAUACAGGAACACAAUCACUCAAAUUCAGUCACACACACAGUGAUCCUCACUCACAUUCAGUGACACAAUCACAUUCAGUCACACACAGUGACACAAUCGCUCACAUUCAGUCACACACACAGUGAUCC